CUGUGGUGCUUGAAAAUGUUGGAGUCUGAGCUGCCCCCAGGACCAGUUCCUCAGCUGGCACAAGAGCUCGCUGCCACAUCCAGUUUUGCAUCCACUGAAGAGAGUCUAUGGGCCUUGUGUGCCAUCUCUGCCCUGUGUUCUGCCUUCAGGGUAAAUGUACCUGCAGUCUCUGGCUUCCAGGAAAGCCCCAAAGCAUGAAAGGCCACACAGCAUCUCUUGGAGGAGGCUGAGGACCCAGCAAACCUGCUCCUAAAGUCCCCUGCAGGGAAAUUGGUCUCAUCAGUAUUCCUGCAGCAGGGUUUGCCACAUGCCCAGGAGUGAUUGGCAGUGGCUUGAGCUUUGCUUUUAAAUCGUGCAGCAUUGCCUAAUAUUAAAACAUGAUUAGAAAGGA